CCUGAUGAAAGGCAGGGCUGCCUGUUCUCUUUUCUCAGUCCUUACAGAUCUUGUAGAUUUUCUCACAUUCGCUCCUGGAGAGGUUUUUUUUUGUUUUUGUUGCUGUUGUUGUUGUUGUUUUGAGAGAGUCUCGCUCUGUCCCCAGGCUGGAGUGCGGUGGCGCCAUCUCGGCUCACUGCAACCUCUGCCUCCUGGGUUCAAGCGAUUCUUCUGCCUCAGCCUCCUGAGUAGCUGGGAUUACAGGUGCCCACCACAACGCCUGAUUAAUUUUUGUAUUUUUAGUAGAGACGAGGUAUCACCAUGUUGGUCAGGCUGGUCUUGAACUCCUGACCUCGUGAUCCACCUGCCUUGGCCUCCCAAAGUGCUGGGAUUACAGGCGUGAGCCACCGCGCCCAGCCUGGAGAGGUUUUGAUGCUCUUAGGAGGGAAACGCCUUGAUGUUACAGUUCCGCAGAUGUUUCCAUGAAUACAUGCCUUUCGCCCUCCGCCAUGAUUCUGAGGCCUCCCCAACCAUGCGGAACUGUUGGGUUUCAGCCGAGCAAGUCUGAGGCCCCUUUCCCGCGCCCUCUGGUGGAAAGUGUUCGCUUUUCUGUCCACCCAUGUGAAGGAUUCACCCCGACCCUCCUCAGGUGGCCUUUACUUUGCAGGAGCAAAGCAAGAGGACACAAGAUUUGCAACUUGCCUAAUUACUCCUGCAAAGAACAUCGCUACUGUAGCACCUGAGAAUGGCCUUUUGAGAUGUGUUUUCAGGCUUUUGCACUUCUGACAACUGAUGGCUGCACUUGGACUCGCCAGCCGGUCCCGCGUCCCCACCAGAAGCAGAGUAAGCACAAGAGGACAGCUCCGACUCCCUAGGAUUUCAGCUCUGACCAGUCGCACGCCUGGCUCACUGGCUUCCCCACACCCACCAAGUUGUUCUUAAAAACUCUGCUGCCCGAAUGCUCAGGGAGAGUGAUUUGAGUAAUAAUGAAACUGUUGUCUCCUGCACAGUCGGCUCUGCGUGAAUUACUCUUUCUCUAUUGCAAUUCCGCUCUCUUGAGAAAUCGGCUCUGUCCAGGCAGCAGCAAGGUGAAGCCACUGGGCGGUUACACUGAUAUGAUUCCCCCUUUGCAGUUUUUACUCUCUUGGUGCUGCAAACAGUUCCUCACUGAGGACCCUUGUACACGUAUCACUGUGAGCAUGAAUCCGAAUUUCUUUAGGAGACAUACAUACUAGUGGGUAUGUGCAUGUUAUGUAAUUUCUCUUAGCACUGUUUCCUCACUCAUCAAAUAAGGAUCAAGUAGUUCUCACCACACAGGGUUAUUUUAGAAAUAAUUUAGUAUACAUAAUAUACAAUGCAAUAACAAGUACUGAUGUCUACUUCUUUUAGGUUAUAUGAUAAUACCUUAUACAUAGUACAUGUGUGAUUAUAUAUAUUGCAAUGUAGAGUACGAUCUAUAAUUUACAGAACUGUUGUUUAUAUAUAACAAAUGCUGUCCUUGCGAUAGUUUGCUCAGAAUGAUGGUUUAUGUAUACAUAUGUAACAAACCUGCACGUUGUGCACACGUACCCUAGAACUUAAAGUAUAAUUUUAAAAAAUGCUAUAAUUCAUGUGGUGAUUAUUAUCUACCAGUUACAUCAUCGAUAGAAUGAGGACGUUGUUAACGGUACACGCCAGACAGGAUGGCUGUGAGGAUCUGUGAUAAUAAGAAUUAGAUAUUUGGUCUUUGUCCCUGUUUCCUGAUGGAGGCUUCUAAACCCCUUGGAAUUCCCUGACUGAUAGGGGCAAGAGGAAAUCUUUUGUUAUUCCUAACGAGCCCCUUUCAUCCAUGCCUGUGUUUAUGCUAAUGAGGUGACUCCUGGAGGAUGAGGGCUGGUUGCCAGGGGAAUCAACUUUGCCUUGCAACUUUCAGCUCCAGUCCGUGACUUCCAGGGAAAGAACAGGGGCUGGAGAUUGAGUUUAAUCGCCAAUGACCAGUGAUUUGAUCAUUCAUGCUUAAAUAAUGGAACCAUAAGAAACCUAAAGAAAAGGUUUGGAGAGCUGCUGGGUUCAGGAGCACAUUCGUGUGCUGGGAGGGUGUUGUGCCUGGUGAAGGUGUGGAAGCGCUGACUCUGCCUCGCAUACCUUGUCCUGUCUGUGUCUUUCAUCUGGCUGUUGCUGAGUUGUGCUGUUUAUAAUAAUAAACUGGU
ensembl:lncRNA ZNF496-DT ZNF496 divergent transcript